rnacentral:rRNA from 1 species
UACAGAGGGUGCGAGCGUUGUCCGGAAUCACUGGGCGUAAAGGGCGCGUAGGUGGCGCCCCAAGUCUGUGGUGAAAGCUCGAUGCUCAACCUCGAGUCGGCCACGGAAACUGGGGGGCUGGAGCACUGUAGAGGCUAAUGGAAUUCCGGGUGUAGCGGUGGAAUGCGUAGAGAUCCGGAAGAACACCGGUGGCGAAGGCGGUUAGCUGGGCAGUUGCUGACACUGAGGCGCGACAGCGUGGGGAUCAAACAGG